rnacentral:rRNA from 1 species
CAGCAGCCGCGGUAAUACGUAGGGUGCAAGCGUUAAUCGGAAUUACUGGGCGUAAAGCGUGCGUAGGCGGUGAGUUAAGUCUGCUGUGAAAUCCCCGGGCUCAACCUGGGAACUGCAUUUGUGACUGGCAAGCUAGAGUGUGGCAGAGGGGGGUGGAAUUCCGCGUGUAGCAGUGAAAUGCGUAGAUAUGCGGAGGAACACCGAUGGCGAAGGCAGCCCCCUGGGCCAACACUGACGCUCAUGCACGAAAGCGUGGGGAGCAAACAGGAUUAGAUACCCCAGUAGUCCCUGUCUCUUAUAA